rnacentral:rRNA from 1 species
AUUGAACGCUGGCGGCAGGCCUAACACAUGCAAGUCGAGCGGAUGAAGGGAGCUUGCUCCUGGAUUCAGCGGCGGACGGGUGAGUAAUGCCUAGGAAUCUGCCUGGUGGUGGGGGAUAACGUCCGGAAACGGGCGCUAAUACCGCAUACGUCCUGAGGGAGAAAGUGGGGGAUCUUCGGACCUCACGCUAUCAGAUGAGCCUAGGUCGGAUUAGCUAGUUGGUGGGGUAAAGGCCUACCAAGGCGACGAUCCGUAACUGGUCUGAGAGGAUGAUCAGUCACACUGGAACUGAGACACGGUCCAGACUCCUACGGGAGGCAGCAGUGGGGAAUAUUGGACAAUGGGCGAAAGCCUGAUCCAGCCAUGCCGCGUGUGUGAAGAAGGUCUUCGGAUUGUAAAGCACUUUAAGUUGGGAGGAAGGGCAGUAAGUUAAUACCUUGCUGUUUUGACGUUACCAACAGAAUAAGCACCGGCUAACUUCGUA